CCUACGGGAGGCAGCAGUGAGGAAUAUUGGUCAAUGGGCGAGAGCCUGAACCAGCCAAGUCGCGUGAGGGAGUACUGCCCUAUGGGUUGUAAACCUCUUUUGUCGGGGAGCAAAAGCCGGACGUGUCCGGCUGUGAGAGUACCCGAAGAAAAAGCAUCAGCUAACUCCGUGCCAGCAGCCACGGUAAUACGGAGGAUGCGAGCGUUAUCCGGAUUUAUUGGGUUUAAAGGGUGCGCAGGCGGAUUUUUAAGUCAGCGGUAAAAUCGUGGGGCUCAACCCCAUCCAGCCGUUGAAACUGGGGAUCUAGAGUGUGCGAGAGGUAUGCGGAAUGCGUGGUGUAGCGGUGAAAUGCAUAGAUAUCACGCAGAACCCCGAUUGCGAAGGCAGCAUACCGGUGCACAACUGACGCUCAGGCACGAAAGCGUGGGUAUCGAACAGGAUUAGAUACCCCUGUAGUC
rnacentral:rRNA from 1 species